rnacentral:rRNA from 1 species
GGACCUGACUGCUAUCGGAUUGAUACUAAGCCAUGCGAGUCAUUGUAGCAAUACAAGGCAUACGGCUCAGCAACGCGUAGUCAACCUAACCUAUGGACGGGAAUAACCUCGGGAAACUGAGAAUAAUGCCCGAUAGAACAUUAUACCUGGAAUGGUUUAUGUUCCAAAUGAUUUAUCGCCGUAGGAUAGGACUGCGGCCUAUCAGUUUGUUGGUGAGGUAAUGGCCCACCAAGACUAUUACAGGUACGGGCUCUGAGAGGAGUAGCCCGGAGAUGGGUACUGAGACACGGACCCAGGCCCUAUGGGGCGCAGCAGGCGAGAAAACUUUGCAAUGUGCGAAAGCACGACAAGGUUAAUCCGAGUGAUUUCUGCUAAGAAAUCUUUUGUUAGUCCUAGAAACACUAACGAAUAAGGGGUGGGCAAGUUCUGGUGUCAGAC